CCUACGGGUGGCAGCAGUGGGGAAUUUUGCGCAAUGCUCGUAAGAGUGCCGCAGCGACGCCGCGUGAAUGACGCAGGCCUUCGGGUCGUAAAGUUCUUUCGACAGGGAAGAAAAUGCCUAUAAGUAACUGUGUCUGUAUUGACGGUACCUGUAUAAGCAGCCCCGGCUAACUCCGUGCCAGCAGCCGCGGUACUACGGAGGGGGCGAGCGUUGUUCGGAGGGACUGGGCGUAAAGAGCACGUAGGCGGUGUUGUAAGUCAUUAGUCAAAGACUAGAGCUCAACUUUAGUAAGGCUAGUGAUACUAUAAUACUAGAGUAUCAGAGAGGAAUGCAGAAUUCCUGGUGUAGCGGUGAAAUGCGUAGAUAUCAGGAGGAAUACCGUUAGCGAAGGCGGCAAUCUGGCUGGAAACUGACGCUGAGGUGCGAAAGCGUGGGUAGCAAACAGGAUUAGAUACCCGUGUAGUC
rnacentral:rRNA from 1 species